rnacentral:rRNA from 1 species
AGUGAACGCUGGCGGUAGGCCUAACACAUGCAAGUCGAACGGCAGCACAGAGGAGCUUGCUCCUUGGGUGGCGAGUGGCGGACGGGUGAGGAAUACAUCGGAAUCUACUCUGUCGUGGGGGAUAACGUAGGGAAACUUACGCUAAUACCGCAUACGACCUACGGGUGAAAGCAGGGGAUCUUCGGACCUUGCGCGAUUGAAUGAGCCGAUGUCGGAUUAGCUAGUUGGCGGGGUAAAGGCCCACCAAGGCGACGAUCCGUAGCUGGUCUGAGAGGAUGAUCAGCCACGCUGGAACUGAGACACGGUCCAGAUUCCUACGGGAGGCAGCAGUGGGGAAUAUUGGACAAUGGGCGCAAGCCUGAUCCAGCCAUACCGCGUGGGUGAAGAAGGCCUUCGGGUUGUAAGGCCCUUUUGUUGGGAAAGAAAUCCAGCUGGCUAAUACCCGGUUGGGAUGACGGUACCCAAAGAAUAAGCACCGGCUAACUUCGUGCCAGCAGCCGCAGUAA